rnacentral:rRNA from 1 species
CGCCCGGGGGGCCUACGGGAGGCAGCAGUGGGGAAUAUUGCACAAUGGGCGCAAGCCUGAUGCAGCCAUGCCGCGUGUAUGAAGAAGGCCUUCGGGUUGUAAAGUACUUUCAGCGGGGAGGAAGGGAGUAAAGUUAAUACCUUUGCUCAUUGACGUUACCCGCAGAAGAAGCACCGGCUAACUCCGUGCCAGCAGCCGCGGU